AUUUUAGCUUUUUCUUGACUCAAAACACUUAAAAACACAAUCUAAAGCAAGUUCUAACUAAUAUGACUAACAAAGUAAAGGGGGAAUUGGUUAUGACGAAUUUGAAAGUAAAACAAGUAAAUUAAAGAACUAAUGAAAUCUGCAUGAAUUUGGAUAAAACUAUGGAUGAUUGGUUUGCUAGAGUUCCUUCUCCACACAUGACACACUUACAUACAAAUUGAGUUUCAGUUGUUCUUUCGAUAAACCAUAAACCUCAACACCCCAGAUUAACUGUGAAUUGCACUAAUUAACCCUCAGAUUUUCCUAAUUUCAUUGAAUUGGAUGAAAGCAUGCGACAACCCAAAUCAGAUGAACGCAUGCGACAACCCAAAUCAUUCUCCACAAGUUCCCUACAUGAAUUGCAUAAUAGAAAUACGAGCAAAGAUCAUUAAAAUCUAUGAAAAUCAUAAGCAUUGACGAGGCACUUGUAACUAUGAAUUGCAUGAAACUUGUGCCAAGAAUUCACUUAACAUGAUUGUGACCAGCAACCUUCACUACUUGUGGAUAUAAGUUCAUAACGAUUAGGUGAAAAUCCCUUAUAUUCUAGCAUCAAAUUCAUGCAUGCAACUAAGUGUCGACCCUCAAUUAACAUACAAGAAUAAGUUAUAAAUCAAACUGUUAAGUAAAUUGCAUUCAAAGUUUAUGAAAUCACAACUGAAAGUACUCAAAUCAUAUUGCAAAUAUGUUCAUGGCUUUGAAUUCCCUCUAGUAAAUAAAAGAUUUAGCCACUCAUGUUCACAGAACAAAGAUUACUAAACAUGAACAUUGAAAACAAAAGGUUGAAAACACCUUAGAAACGUUCCAGUGAUCCAAA
rnacentral:lncRNA from 1 species